GAAGAAAAAAAGAAAGGUACAUAAUCGUCGGAAGCAGGAAGAAAAGGAAGGAAGAAAAGAAGAAGAAGGAGUCGCGGCUUACGGUGAAGCAUAAAGCCCAGGACUAAUUCCACGAGUCGUUCCCGCUGCGAUAUUCUUAUCGAGAAUAGCCGCGAGAACGUUUCGCGAUCGUUGAAUGGCUCACCGCGGUGCAUAGAAGUCAGGUGUCGAGGCGGGGAUCCGAAGAGAAACGCAUUAACAGGUGCUGUGCUCCGGAUGAUAUCGAACGUACUUUAAGCGUUCUACCCUUCCAACCGCACGAGAGGGAAACCCAUAAAGCAUUUGACCACGAACGAGGGUGACAGGCACGAGAACGUGGAGGAGAAACUCGCGGCGAUGUUUCAUCGAGCUUCCGAGCAAAACUUACUUCUACGUUACACGUAGUCGGAUCUUCGCGAGUCGGCUACCAGUGAAAGGAAAGGAGGAGAGAAGAUGCUGCGAGAAGAUACGACGUGGAAGGUGUAAUGGAUCGCCACACGACCCGCUCGGUCCCAACCCCAUAUGGAACACCGGGAGAGAUCGGCCAGAGAUUACAGGGAAGCAGGGCAUAAUGUCCAAACAGUUGCUCGUCAACAACCGACUAACGGUCGACGAAAACGUUCUCUUCUACCGAGAGCAGCGCGUGAGCACAACGAUCUCCGAUCCCAACGUCGAAUUCCUCGAAGAACGACAACCACGACUACGACUACUACUACUACGACGACGACGACGACGUCGACGACGACGACGACGACGACGACGACGACGACGACGAAGAGGAGCCGAGCAUCGAAGGUCGAAAUCUUCGAGAGUUGUUCUCGAGAUCACGAGUAGAAGGAACGGCAGCAGCA